UGGAACUCGGGAUUCUUAUUCAGUCUAGAAAUGCUCUGUGUAUAGCCAGAUGCCUUCCCUGCUCUGCAGUGUGUUUCUUCAACUAGAAGAUCAUGUUACUUUCAACCAUGGCACAUUUCCAGUACCUGCAGGCAACCAAAUCUCAUCAGCUGGGAUCCAGGCAGGCUCCCUGGCUUG
rnacentral:lncRNA from 1 species